CAGUGUUAAACCUCUAAAAUAUGUAUGCCCCCUUGGAACACACGCGCAAUUAACAAGACCACUACUACAGAAGAUUGUAUCUGGAAUUUUAAGAAGCCUUCUUCUAUUUGCAGGACACCAGACUCUAAACAUGGGUGAAGCUGGAGCGACUCAAGAUGCACCUUGACUUCUGGUACACUAUAUGAGUGAUUCAAAUUUGCUCAAGGUUAAUAAUAGCUAGCAUGGAGCCAACUGGAGGAAGGUAACUCUUGAUGCUAAAGUUUACAAUCCUCCCAACAUCCAUUCUUGCCACGGACACCGAAUGUUGUGACGUCAAUUUGGGAGCCAUGGGAUGGAUCCCUUUCAGAGUGAUCUAGACGCCCUCGAUGCCUCGACAAUUUCACGGGCGUCUGAAGUGUGAACUGAGAUCAUACUUAUAUCUGGUCAGUUUAGCGACAAACCCUACAUUUUAGUUUUUUGUUAUGUGUCCUAUAUGCACUUUUAGUUUUUUAUAGGUGUGGAUAACUUCUUGAAAGCUAAAUCUGCCCAUACUGUAUGUGCUUUUCCGCGAGGUAGACUAAAUUGGCAUCUUGAGGAUUCAUGCUUCAUGUAUCAUACAAGUGAUCCUUUCAUAGCUUCAUCUGUUGCGCUCUUACAUAUCGUAUUCUGCUAUAGAGUAUAAAUAGUACUCUUCCUUGGAGUUGAAUCCAUGUAUCAUGAUUUUUGGUUGAUACUGUCCUAUAGUUCCCCACAAAAAAAGGACUUUGGUUGUGGCUAACUGGGUUCUCUCUGCCUCUCACAAGUUUUGUUUAUUACUAUACUACUAUUAUUUAGUUAGAUAACUUGGACUGUCUGAUAGGAGUUCUUACUCACUGCUAGAGAUGCUAACUGAUUCUCUUCGGCUCUCACAAGUUUGUCCUUGUGUUAUCUCUUAUUUAGGGUAAAAAUAAUGCCCAGAACAAAGAAAUUAUGUAUUGUACUGUACUCAUUAUUGUAGUUAAAGAUUAUCUUCAAAAUUGAUCAUCACUUGGGAUGCUACCAACUUGCAGGGUUCAUGAGACAUUAAUUUUCCAUAUUUCAUUUCCCUCUUCUUCACUUGUUACAAAUGUAUCUUUAACAUUAGAGUUUAAUAUUUGUGUUUUCACAGGUAGGAAUAGACAGGUAAGAUCAGUCACCAGCGAUGGAGUCAUGAGGUUGUUGACGUCAUGCUAAAUGUUGGUGUAGGGCCAAAGGAGAAGAUAUGGUGCAAAAUUCUUGAGCUUGACAUUAUGGUGGAUGUGGGCGCCAGGGCCGCCACCAAGGAUGUAGGGGUCGCGCCACAAUGGUCGAGGAUGCGUUAGGCACGCCGAAACUGACGAGGACAUGUGAGCCGCACUGCAGCCUUAGUGUUUUUCCUAAUUUCUUUAGGUACCCAAGGUUGAUUUAAUAUUCACAUGUAUGCUGAAAUUUUGACACCAAAGAACCAGCAGUGGAGUUAUACGAAAUUUCUCCCGAGAGCU